CGGAGGAAAAGAAACUAACAAGGAUUCCCCUAGUAGCGGCGAGCGAAGCGGGAAAAGCCCAAUGUGAAAAGCCAGCUUGCUGGCGUUGUAGUCGAGCGACCUUGGAGUGUCAGUGUGGGUAAGUGGCAUGGAAAUGUCCGCCGUGGAGGGUGAAAGCCCCGUCCAUCCCAUUCAGGACACUUCGUACAAGGGCGUUUCAACCGAGUCGGGUAGCUUGGGAAUGCUGCUCUAAUUGGUGGUAAAUCUCAUCAAAGGCUAAAUAAAGGUGGGAGACCGAUAGCGAACAAGUACCGUGAGGGAAAGAUGACAAGCACUUUGAAAAGAGGGUGAAAAGAGCCUGAAACCGUUACGAAGGAAGCGGAUUGCGUUGGAUUGAUGGCCUGUUGCGUGUUCAGCCGUUUUGGUGUACUCACGCGAUAUUUUGGUUAUCCGUCGUGGCUUUUUGGCGGCAGAAGAUGUGCUGCUAGAGAGUGAGGGCUCCCCGCAAGGGUUUGAGAGGACGACGGAGUGACGACGCAAUACGACCCGUCUUGAAACACGGACCAAGGAGUCUAGCGCAGAUGCGAGUCGGAGGGUGUCAAAAACCCGUGGGCGAAGUGAAAGCGAGUUUUUUUUUGUAAUGAAAAAUGUUAAAACGAGCAGUUUGGGGCGGCAUAAAAUCGAUGAUUUUAGGUCUGACCUUGAGCAGUUGCGCUGGGACCCGAAAGAUGGUGAACUAUGCCGGAGUAGGGCAAAGCCAGAAGAAAUUCUGGUGGAGGCUCGUAGCGGUGCUGACGUGCAAAUCGCUCGUCCAACUUGGGUAUAGGGGCGAAAGACUAAUCGAACCAUCUAGUAGCUGGUUCCCUCCGAAGUUUCUCUCAGGAUAGCGGGCCGACAUUUUAUGUUGUUUUGUGCGGUAAAGCGAAUGAUUAGCGCAUUCGGGGGCGUUUAGCCUUUGGGCGAUUCUCAAACUUUCAAUGCGCAAGGGUACCGGUGCUUUGUUGAGCGGUACCGAUAAAAACGUCGGCCUCGUGGGCCACUUUUGGUAAGCAGAACUGGCGAUACGGGAUGAACCGUAAGCAAUGGUUAAGGCGCCAAAUUGCCCGCUUAUAGAUCCCACAAAAGGUGUUGAUUCAUCGAGACAGCAGGACGGUGGCCAUGGAAGUCGGAAUCCGCCAAGGAGUGUGUAACAACUCACCUGCCGAAUGAAUUAGCCCUGAAAAUGGAUGGCGCUAAAGCGGGCAGCCGACACCAUGCCGUCUGGAAAAGAUACGAGUUUCAGAUGAGUAGGAGGGCGUGGUGGCCGUGUCGAAGUAUGCGUGCAGACGCGUAUGGAACGGCCACUAGUGCAGAUCUUGGUGGUAGUAGCAAAUAUUCAAGCGAGAUCCUUGAAGGGCGAAGCGGGGAAGGGUUCCACGCAAACAUCGAUUGGGCGUGGGUGAGUCGUUCCUAAGCCGAGUGGCUAUUGCUAAGUAGCGGCGAAAGGGAAGCGGGUUGACAUUCCCGCACACGGAUGUGGAGGCGGUGACGCUUUAUUGUGGCGAACACGCUGGCGAUGGCGCUAGGCAGAGUUGUCUUUUCUGUUUGACCGCUUUUAUGCACACGGUGUGGAAUCCGCUUGUCGGGAGAAACACGUGUGUUGGGGCAGAGCGCCGGGGUUUUUCCGGCGUCUAGCUCGCCAUCGACGGCCCUUGAAACUUUGCCUGCUGGGUGUUUUUCAUGUGAAAACAUUUUAAAAUCCACGCCGUGGCGUACCGAUCACCGCAUCAGGUCCCCAAGGUGAACAGCCUCUGCUCCAUAUGAACAAUGCAGGUAAGGGAAGUCGGCAAAUUGGACCCGUAACUUUGGGAAAAGGGUUGGCUCUAGUGCUGCGUGGGAGUGGUUGUCGCGUGUUGCUGCUUCUAGGUGGUAUUGUGUGAGCGCAGACGGUGGGGCGCGGCGCAUGUGCGCGUGGGCUUGAGGGAGAUAGGGGAUUUUUCCGUUAUUUUUCUCCACGCGCCGGCGUUGUUGCCUUUUCCACUUUUUGUGUUUGCUCAGUGUGCCCGGUUGUGUCACGCUCGACGACGCCCACAGCAUGCAGCAGACUAGAACUGCAACGGGCAAAGGGAAUCCGACUGUUUAAUUAAAACAAAGCAUUGCGAGGGCCGUGGCCGGUGAUGACGCAAUGUGAUUUCUGCUCAGUGCUCUGAAUGUCAAAGUGAAGAGAUUCAAUCAAGCGCGGGUAAACAGCGGGAGUAACUAUGACUCUCUUAAGGUAGCCAAAUGCCUCGUCAUCUAAUUAGUGACGCGCAUGAAUGGAUUAACGAGAUUCCUACUGUCCCUAUCUGCUUCUAGCGAAACCACAGCCGAGGGAACGGGCUCGGCCAAAUCGGCGGGGAAAGAAGACCCUGUUGAGCUUGACUCUAUUCUAAUUUUGUGAAGCAAGCUGGGAGGUGUAGCAUAGGUGGGAGACUCUUCUGCUUUCGGGGGGAUUUGUCGAACGUGAAAUACCACUACUCCCAGUCUUGCUUUACUUACUGGGUGGGUGUGGAGUUGUCUUUAAAGACUUUAUUUUGGAAUCAACUCGGCGCGGCAAGCGCUGACGACCACAGCCCAGUACACAUUUAGGAGGGGAGUUUGGCUGGGGCGGUACAUCUUCUACAAGACAACGAAGGUGUCCAAAGAUAAGCUCAGUGAGAACAGAAAUCUCACGUAGCGCAAAAGGGUAAAAGCUUGUUUGAUUUUGAUUUUCAGUGCGAGUCAAAAACGCGAAAGCGUGGCCUAUCGAUCCUUUCACAUUUCGAGAUUUGAAGCGAGAGGUGUCAGAAAAGUUACCACAGGGAUAACUGGCUUGUGGCGGCCAAGCGUUCAUAGCGACGUCGCUUUUUGAUCCU
rnacentral:rRNA from 2 species